UACGUAGGGUGCGAGCGUUGUCCGGAUUUACUGGGCGUAAAGGGCGUGCAGGCGGUCUGUUAAGUGCAGGGUGAAAGCUCCCGGCUCAACUGGGAGAGGUCCUUGCAUACUGGCGGACUUGAGGGGGGUAGAGGAAAGUGGAAUUCCCGGUGUAGUGGUGAUAUGGCGUAGAUAUCGGGAGGAACACCUGUGGCGAAGGCGGCCCCCUGGGCCGGCCCCUGACACUGGAGACGCGGAAGGCGUGGGGAGCGAA
rnacentral:rRNA from 1 species